GCCUCCUGGAGAUGCUUUGGAGGGCGCUGGGGCAAAGGAGCCUCGCUGAAGCUCUGGGCGGGCGCCCUUUGGGACAAAGCAGUGCCUCUCUUCCCCCGUUUGGCAGCAGAUGAGAGCCAGGUUGGCCUCCUUGGACCUGCUUCGGCUUCCCUCCCCUUUGCCUUUACAGCCGGAGAGCCAGGGCUGCCUGCACAUGCAAAAUGGAAAGGACACACGAAGUGGGAAAGGCUGGGUGGAUCUCUCCUACUUGUUCAGGAUGGGCUCCCAUUGGCUAUUUGGCGCUGUUUCAGCCGAUACUGGCCUCCCUCCCUCUCCCGUGCCUGGAAGCCACGCCCCCUCCUGUUGGUUUCCUCCAUUAGCAGCAGCCAGGCCAGCAACGCGCGCCCUGCGAGAGGUGAAAACCAGUACCCAUGUGGCUAAACAACAUUGGAAUGUCGUCAAGAUGGAAAACACUAUUACUCAGGAAGAAUGGACAAACUAGGAGAUAAUGCAACAGUUCGUUUUUGUCUAAGCCAACAGGGAACGGUAAGACUGCCCAGUCCUCUCACCUCCUGUCUGCUGAGUUCAUGCAUUUCAAACUACUUCUGGACUUUGACUUCAGUUUGCAGCUACUGAAGUAACUGAUCAUGAAAAAGGAAAAAGAGAGUAGGAAAGAGAAACACAGACAUUUUAAAAGCAGUUGAAAAAGUGGGAUGAUAGAGGAUUAAUCAGGACUGUUCUUGCCAAAUUGAAACAGUUGGAGUGUAUAUGGUCUACUCAGUCAGACUUCACAACCAGUUUUUGGUACACAGUUUUUAAUGUGUUGGUUAUAGUCAAAAACCCCUCUCCCUUUUCCUGGAAAAUAUAAUGUAAACAAAACAAACAAACAAAAAACAACAACAACAAUUUCAAAAAUAGCUGUUCCAAAAACUACAUUAGAAAGGUCUAAAUCUCAGUAAUAGUGUUUUGCAUGGCAAAAGUUCUUAGUUAGCUUCUCCAUUGAGGUGAAGACUUCAAUCAUGUCAAUCUGUGUAUAGUAUUUUAAUCACAAGUGAUUUUAAGUUAAGUUACAAGUGUUUUAAGUUAAUAUGGGGCAACAUACUAUGUCCAACUAUUAAUGAUUGAUUGUUGUUUAUUUAUUUAUUUGUGAUACUUUUACCCCUCCUUUCUCACCCCGGUGGGGACUCAAGGCAGCUUCACAAAGUGGCAAUAAUUCAAUGCCUUUUAAAACCAAGUACAAAAGCAGUUAUUUAAAUAAUAAAACAUUAAAAUACAAUUAAAACAAAAUUAAAACAAUUAACAUUUGACUCUGACCGUAGAGUAAAUCACGUGAUCCAAGAGCAUAGUCUGGGCCGUUCCCUUGGUCAGUUCCAUAUCUUUCAUAUCUAUUAUUGCACCAGAUUUCUGAAGGCUUGGUCAAAGAGCCAUAUCUUCAUUUUUUUUGCGGAAGAUCAGGAGGGAUCUAAUCUAAUCUAAUCAGGAGGGAUCUAAUCUCCCUGGGGAAGAAGGCCCUGUCUCUCGUCCUCGCCAAUCACAUCUGCGAAGAGGGUGGGACCGAAAGCAGGGCCUCCCCGGACGAUCUUAGACUCUGAGAUGGUUCAUAGAAGGAGGUACGUUCCGACAGGUUAACUGGGUCAGAACCUUUAAGUCAUUUCUGACCGAUGCUGACCCUAAGGCAAAACUAUGACAGGGUUUUCUUGGCAAGACUUACAACCUCAUCACAAAAAUCAAUGGAUUCGCCACACAUCAUGAAGAAUCCAUGGGAUCCUGGGGGGGGGGGGUCGUGGAGAACCUGUCGCUCCACGCCCCACAUUGUGCAACCUGGGACCCCAUCACAUGGGGGGAAGCAUUGCCACCCGGCUUCCCCUCAUUGUGCUUAAGGUAACAUAGGAAGCCUCUCAUGUUGCUGCGGUAACAGCAUAUGCCGCUUGCUCUCCCUUUUCCCGAUGGACCCUGGCCGAAAGUACACGUAUAUCAUGUAAUGGUGUCUGUCAGGAAAGGGAGAGCUAGCGGCAUACGACAGGAAAAGGAGACCGUCUGAUGAGGUAAUAUCAGAAGAGGCUUGCCAUUGCCUCCCUCUGAGACUGAGCGAAUGGGCCUUGCCCAGUGGGUUUCCUACUCAAAACACUAAAACUGCUACACUAUACUUGCUUUCACAUGAAAAUCUCUAUAAUUUUUCUGUUUCCUUGCAGACUAGUAGUAGAUGGUUUAUUGUUGAAUACCUUCAAGCAACUUGUGACUUAUGCAACCCUGAGGCAAAUGAAUUAUGAGGUUUCUUGGCAAGAUUCAUUGAAAGGAAGUUUAUUAGUCUGUUAUGUGGAGAACUAGCCUAUGUAUCCACUCAUUUUUCUGUUCUUUGUUCCUUGUAUAAUUUGACUAUCUCCCAAACCUUUUUUUAAACAAAUUUCAAUUUUUUUUACUUCAUUCUAGUCUCAUAUUUUUCUCUUUUAUGGUAUCACUAGCAUUUAGCUUGCUUAUUGCUGUAUCAGACAAAUUGAGAUCUAAUUUAGAAAUGAAUGUAUUACCUUUACAGUACAUACUGGCAGUUCUUUAUAUUUCUGCCUUCCCAUGUAAUCUCAUAAUGCUGUCAGCCCUUCUGAUUAAAGACAACAAGAACAGAAUGCAGACUUGUUAACCCUGGACCACUUUCCCAUUGUAUUUGGUCACAGUCUCAACAGAACUGUGAACAUUUGGUCAGUUAUGUUUGGCAUAGCCAUGGCUCCAGCCUUUGCCAAGUGGUAACUUCUUUGAACCUAUACGAUAACCGGUCUUCACUGUUGUUGUUGUUUUAAACAAGUCUACUUUUGAAGAAAGCUGUUUUAGAAAGACAGGAAGAAGAAAUUACAGAUCCAAUGUUAAGUGUAGGACAAUGUGUUUCCUAAGAUAUCCAAUGCCAUGUUAAGUGACUUAACAACAGUGUUGCUCUUCUAUCAUUAGACACAGAAAGCACGUAACUUUUCUCUUGCUCAUUUUGUUUUAUUCAUACAUAUUUUACACUAUAUAUGUGGCAUGCAUUUCUUUUAUGCAGGGCUUAACCAAUGUAUUUUGUUGCCUUUGAUGAAUAUGAAGACAGCACAGAAUCCCUCAGAUGAUAACUGGAAUGGCAGUGUACUGGAACAGAAAUGUAGAUUAAGCCUGUCAGUAGGGUAUGGAGAAAUAGCUCUUUCUCCCAUCAGGCUACUGUCUGAGGCAACCACCCUAUUCUGCCUAAUGAUAGGGCAAACCAUGUCCAAGCAGGUAGCCCUUUUUUUAAAGUCGCCAGAAUGGUACUGAUGAUUGCAGGGACAUAUGGCUGUUAAUUAUUGUUUAUGCUGCAAUUGCUUCCAGUGUGGACAGAUUUAAACAUUGCUUUUCUGAUGUCGUCUUUUUAGGAUGUCGGGGUAAUGCUAUACAGUGGUUAAAAUAAAUAUAGAAUCACACUGCAGUAUUCCACAUCCUUGCAUUGCCCAUUCAUCCUUGCAGAGAGAUUAAAGGGCUUGGUAAAACUAACUUCUUCUAGGUCAGUUUUGGGCAAUCAAGUCUUAACUCUCAGGGACAGGGUAGCUUACUACUGAAUUGAAAAAGGUCAGACUGAAACCUAUUGUAUUUGUAAUGACAAGGAUUUCACAAGAAGGUUAUUUCAUUUCUCUCUCUCUCUCUCUCUCUCUCUCUUUGUACACCACAUAGUGGUUUGUCAGUAUGAUUGUUCAAUGCUAUAAAAUGCUGAAGGUCCCAAUUGCUCAAAGAUUAAUGAGGUCAAAACACUGAAUUGGAAUUUGGGAGAAGGCCUUGUCAACCAUGACACCCCAAUGGCAAUGCUUUCCCCCAGAUACAUGACUGGUGCCAACACUUAUAUCAUUUAGCCUCUCUUAAAACAUGUAUGUUCAGCAAAGCCCUUGGGCAUCAUUACUUCAACCCAAUGUCUGUCACAAAUAGUUUUUAAAACAUUAACAUUUUAAAAUCUGCUUUUAAUUAAUUAUAUUGUCAAAUAUGUUUUAGAUUAUUUAUCUUAACUUACUGGUUUUAGCCCGUUUAACCAUUUUAAUACUAUUUGUAAACUACCCUGAUAUCUUUUAAAUAAUUUUGUGCAUGAAACAAAAUAUGUGUUUUUUAGAUCAUCAGAGAGCAAAGACAUCACUGCCUCAGCCACCCAUGUGGACAAUUUUAAAUUUUGGUUUAUUUGGGAAUUCUGGAUUUUUUUAUUGUGUCAGAAGCGAAUUGAGAAUAUACCGCAAGUUGCUUCUGGUGUGAGAGAAUUGGCUAUCAGCAGACAGGGCCGGCCCUGGGUAAUUUUCAAGUGUAAGUGAACAGAAUUUUGGCGCCCUCCCCCCCUCCCAAACCAAUAACUGAAAAAUAAAAAUGUUUGAUAAGCAGAAAUGUUGGACAAUAAGAAGGGAUUAAGGAAAAGCCUAUUAAACAUCAAAUUACAUUAUGAUUUUACAAAUUAAGCACCAAAACAUCAUGUUUUACAACAAAUCAACAGA
ensembl:lncRNA